GCGGGUGUAGUUCAAUGGUAGAACAUCAGCUUCCCAAGCUGAGAAUGCGAGUUCGAUUCUCGUCACCCGCUCGA
rnacentral:tRNA from 2 species